AGGACGAACGCUGGCGGCGUGCUUAACACAUGCAAGUCGAGCGGUGAUCCUCCUUCGGGAGGUGAUCAGCGGCGAACGGGUGAGUAACACGUGGGCAACCUGCCCCUCACGCUGGGAUAACCUCGGGAAACCGGGGCUAAUACCGGAUACGACCUCGAGCGGCAUCUCUUGAGGUGGAAAGCUCCGACGGUGAGGGAUGGGCCCGCGGCCUAUCAGCUUGUUGGUGGGGUAAUGGCCUACCAAGGCGACGACGGGUA
rnacentral:rRNA from 1 species